rnacentral:rRNA from 1 species
GAUGAACGCUGGCGGCGUGCCUAAUACAUGCAAGUCGAGCGAACAGAUGAGGAGCUUGCUCCUCUGACGUUAGCGGCGGACGGGUGAGUAACACGUGGAUAACCUACCUAUAAGACUGGGAUAACUUCGGGAAACCGGAGCUAAUACCGGAUAAUAUAUUGAGCCGCAUGGUUCAAUAGUGAAAGACGGUUUUGCUGUCACUUAUAGAUGGAUCCGCGCCGCAUUAGCUAGUUGGUAAGGUAACGGCUUACCAAGGCAACGAUGCGUAGCCGACCUGAGAGGGUGAUCGGCCACACUGGAACUGAGACACGGUCCAGACUCCUACGGGAGGCAGCAGUAGGGAAUCUUCCGCAAUGGGCGAAAGCUUGACGGAGCAACGCCGCGUGAGUGAUGAAGGUCUUCGGAUCGUAAAACUCUGUUAUUAGGGAAGAACAAAUGUGUAAGUAACUAUGCACGUCUUGACGGUACCUAAUCAGAAAGCCACGGCUAACUACGUG